GAUGAACGCUGGCGGCGUGCCUAAUACAUGCAAGUCGAGCGAACGGACGAGAAGCUUGCUUCUCUGAUGUUAGCGGCGGACGGGUGAGUAACACGUGGAUAACCUACCUAUAAGACUGGGAUAACUUCGGGAAACCGGAGCUAAUACCGGAUGAUAUUUUGAACCGCAUGGUUCAAAAGUGAAAGACGGUCUUGCUGUCACUUAUAGAUGGAUCCGCGCUGCAUUAGCUAGUUGGUGAGGUAACGGCUCACCAAGGCGAUGAUCUUUAGGGGGCCUGAGAGGGUGAUCCCCCACACUGGUACUGAGACACGGACCAGACUCCUACGGGAGGCAGCAGUGAGGAAUAUUGGUCAAUGGGUGCAAGCCUGAACCAGCCAUCCCGCGUGAAGGACGACUGCCCUAUGGGUUGUAAACUUCUUUUGUAUAGGGAUAAACCUACCCUCGAGAGGGUAGCUGAAGGUACUAUACGAAUAAGCACCGGCUAACUCCGUG
rnacentral:rRNA from 1 species